AGCGACCGCUGGCGGCAGGCCUAACACAUGCAAGUCGAACGCCCCACAAGGGGAGUGGCAGCCGGGUGAGUAACGCGUGGGAACGUACCCUUCGGUUCGGAAUAACUCAGGGAAACUUGGGCUAAUACCGGAUAGGUCCGUGAGGAGAAAGAUUCAUCGCCGAAGGAUCGGCCCGCGUAAGAUUAGCUAGUUGGGGAGGUAACGGCGCACCAAGGCUAUGAUCGUUAGCUGGGCUGAGAGGACGAGCAGACACACUGGGACGAAGACACGGCCCAGAAUCCUACGGGAGGCAGCAGUGGGGAAUAUUGGACAAUGGGCGCAAGCCUGAUCCAGCCAUGCCGCGUGAGUGAUGAAGGCCUUAGGGUUGUAGAGCUCGUUCGGCGGGGACGAUAAUGACGGUACCCGCAGAAGAAGCCCCGGCUAACUUCGUGCCAGCCGCCGCCGUAA
rnacentral:rRNA from 1 species